AGACCGUACAUGACCUAAAGGAGCCAUGGGAGGUACCAAGGUCGCCGACACCUGAGUUGUUUGAUGAAUUGCCACCGACAGAUUCAAAGAUGGUGAUGAAGCUUCAUGAUCUUGUUUGCCGAGUGAGAACAGACUUGAUGGAGCAGCACCUUCAGACCCGCGUACAAAUGUUGCGCAAAUUCAGGCACCUAGAGCAGGAAAAUGCAAAUUUGAGGAACUGGCUAUACACCAACCUGAACGGCAAUGACUAUUGGAGCCGACCAGAAUACGAGUACAAUGACAGCGAC